CUGUCGAUAUUUAUCAAAUAAAACAUAGGGGGUAACACUGUUGUUUUUCUUUGGUCGCCAUGAAAAAAAACACAAGGGGUAACACUGUCGUUUUUAUCAAAUGAAACAUGAGGGGUAACACUGUCGUUUUUAUCAAAUGAAACAUAAGGGGUAACACUGUCGUUUUUUAUCGGUUGUCAUGAAAAAAACAUAAUGGGUAACACUGUUGAUAUUUAUCAAUUAAAACAUAGGGGGUAACACGGUUGUUUUUAUCAAAUGAAACAUGAGGGGUGACACUGUCGUUUUUCUUUGGUCGUCAUGAAAAAAACGUAGUGGGUAACACUGUUGUUUUUUAUUGGUCGUCAUGAAAAAAAAAAAAAGGGGUAACACUGUUGUUUUUUUAUUGGUCGUCAUGAAAAAAAGCAUAAAGGGUAACACUGUUGUUUUUAAUUGGUCGUCAUGAAAAAAAAACAUAAGGGGUAACACUGUUGUUUUUUAUUGGUCGUCAUGAAAAAAAAAAGAUUUGUCCUUGUCAAAUAAAAUAUAAGGGGUAACACUGUCGUUUUUAUCAAAUUAAACUUAAAGGGUAACACUGACCUUUUUAAUCUGUCGUCAUGAAAAACCCAUAAGGGGUAACACUGUCGAAAUGUAUCGAAUAAAACGUAGGGGGUAACAACAGGGACGCGGAAAGUCAGUCCGAGGGGGGGGUCCCGAGAGAGAGUCUAUAUAAUGACGUCAUAAUAAAUACUGCGCAACAUCCAUUGUUUACAGAGACGAGAUGACGGGUGACGUCACAUUCAGAGCUCCGCUCUGAUAAACACUCUACUGCUGUGUAAAAAGAGUUCUGCCAACUAGUUACUUAUUCACAAACGUUAGCAAGUAAACAAUGUGGAAAUUAGAGUCAACUCGGCUGAUACUGUGCUGAAUUUCACACACUAACAACAUGCCGACAAGCUGUUGCGGUCCGGGAUUAUACACAGCGUUAUAACAAGGAUUCAGGGGCCGGUUGCACCAACUGGGCGUAACUAAGACUGGUCGUAACUGCUAAGUAGGUCUUAGUUACGACCUGGCGUUAGAAUGGAACUAACGCCGGUUGCACCAACGGGACUUACGCCUGGUCUUAACUACGCCCGGUCUUAGCCAUGCGCGGCCAUGUGAAUGUUCCAUGGUAUGCGCAUAUCACCGCGUUGCUAGGAUACCUCGUGACAACAGCUGUAUACUAUUUUACUUGACAUGCUGUUGGACACCGAAAUAAAUAAUUCAUUCGUUCACUCAUU
rnacentral:lncRNA from 1 species